CCAAGUGGCACCAGACAUUCAGAGAAAGCUCCAAAAGCUGGGAACUAGCCCCCACAUCCCUCAGGCAGCAUUUGUAGCACAGGCCUUUAAGGUAUUUAAUAAUCAUGACUAGUCAGAGGAGGAUGAGAAGAAUAAGAUAAUGAAAAAAAAAACAGGGCACAAAUUUGAGUUGCCAUAAUUACAAGUCUGCCUCAAGAUAACCCUAUGCAACAGAGAAACCCUGGAUGAGACAUGGUUAAACCACUCCUGGCAUCAGCAAGCUGGGAUGAAACCAGUGUGCUAGCUGCAAGAAGGAAGAACACUAGAGAAAGCAUUGUCCACUCCAUUCUGGGAAGUGGAGAUGAAGUGAGCCUCCACAGCCUACUCCUUUUAUAGCAUCUUGGAUGAGAAGGCUAUCCCCUCUGACUGAGGGGCCCCAAGAGCUUGCCCAGCUUCAGUCUUGAAGUCUUGAGAAAUUUCAUCAUCGUCACCUUGGUGGAGCCUCGAGUCACCUUCUAUGUGGCAGGAAAGAAAAUUGCCUGAGACCUUGGGACUACAUUUCUCAUUUUCUUAAGAAGUGUUUGGUACAACUGAACAUUACUGUGAAGUCCUAUAUCUUCACAUCAAACUACUACCUUCUCUAAUCAUUUG
rnacentral:lncRNA from 1 species